rnacentral:sRNA from 1 species
CUCUUGAAGGCUCAGGGGCCGGUCUGGAGAUAGCUGUGUUUGAUUCCAGGGUUGGGAGGACAGCUCGCGCUGGGAAAACUGGACAGGCCUUCACACUGCUCCUGAAAGUGCAGGUGAGGCUGCGAGGGUCUUGGGAGUUUCUGCUGUUGGAGGGUGUUAAGGGGCUGGCCCAAGAACCCCCUUCCACCAUGAGCUUCCCUCUAGGAGAGGAGAUUCCUCCGGAUGCUAACUGAAGCUGGGGCACCUGAGUUGCAGCGGCACGAGCUCUCCAGCAAGCUGCUGCAGCCGCUGGUUCCUCGGUACGAGGAGGCCCUGUCCCAGCUGGAGGAGUCUGUCAAGGAAGAGCGCAAGCAGAGGGCGGCCUAGGCUGGGGCUCAGAGGGCCGGAGGGACUGAAUGCUCACCACCCUGACCCUCCUUCCAGAGCAGUGCUGAUCACUGGAUCCUGUAUGUGAGGAAAGGAAUCCCCCAGUGGACACAGCCUUCCUCCCCAGGCACAUGGUCUCUGCGCCAGGCAGCCCGGGCAUCAGAGCUCAAGCACCCGCCCCGACUGGAGACUUUAGGGCUUGUCACUUUCAGAGUGUGGAGGUCAGGAUGGCUGCGGGCAAUGAAGCCUUAGUAAAACGGUGAAAAGUACUCCCAGACGGACACGGGCACCUGUCAUGCUUUUGGCUGAGAGUUGGGGGCAUUAACCUUGAGCUAAUGUUAAAAAUCAAGCUCUUGGCCAGGCAUGGUGGCUCAUGCCUGUAAUUCCAGCACUUUGGGAGGCCAAGGCGGGUGGAUCACCUGAGGUCAGGAGUUCGAGACCAGCCUGACCAACAUGGAGAAACCCUGUCUCUACUAAAAAUACAAAAUUAGCCAGGCAUGGUGGUGCAUGCCUGUAAUCCAGCUACUUGGGAGGCUGAGGCGGAAAAAUGGCUUGAACCCGGGAGAUGGAGGUUGCAGUGAGCUGAGAUUGCGCCACUGCACUCCAGCCUGGGCAACAAGAGCAAAACUCCGUCUCAAAAAAAAAAAAAAAAAAAAAAUUGCCGGGCGCGGUGGCACACGCCUGUAAUCCCAGCACUUUGGGAGGCCGAGGCAGGUGGAUCACAAGGUCAGGAGAUAGAGACCAUCAUUGCUAACAUGGUGAAACCCCGUCUCUACUAAAAAUACAAAAAAAAAAAAAAAAAAAAAACAACUAGCCAGGCGUGGUGGUGGGCACCUAUAGUCCCAGCUACUCGGGAGGCUGAGGCAGGAGAAUGGCGUGAACCCAGGAGGCGGAGCUUGCAGUGAGCCGAGACUGCGCCACUGCACUCCAGCCUGGGCAACAGAGUGAGACUCCGUCAAAAAAAAAAGCUCUCCUCCCCAGAUUUGUGAACCUUGUGAUUGUUCAGUGGACACCUCACGUAUUGCUGGUGGGAAGGUCACAUGUGGAGACAGCUGGGCAAAGCCUUGGGGCGUUAAACAGAGUCACUCAUGACCCAGCACUUCCUCUCCUAUGCACCUUGUAUACCCCAGAUCAGUGAAACCUAUAUCCACACAGAAACGUACACAAAUCUCUCAGCAGCAUUGUUCACAGUAGCCAAAAACUAGAAACCACAUGUCCGUCAGCUGAUGAAUGGAGAAUAAAACGUGGGAAAUCCACACCAGGAGAGAAAAAGGAGCGAGGCACCAGCACGGGCACCACGUGGAUGAACCCGGAACCUGACGCUAAGUGAAGGAAGCCUCUGGAACCCGACGCUAACUGAAGGAAGGCUCCGGCUAUAGGGCGUGUCCCAGGCACAGCCAGAGAUUGAAGGGUGCCGGGACCGGGAGUUGGUGGGGGUUGGGGCUGGGGACACAGUGGCCAGUGUGUGGGUUUGUUUUGGGGAUGAUGAAAAUGUUCUUAGAUUGUAUGUGGUGAUGGCUGCUCACCUCUAUAAACCUUUUACUAAAAACCACGGACUGGGUGGAUACAGUGUGUGAAUUCUCUCAGUCCAGUGCUUUGUUUGAAAAAGGUGGAUGAUGUCAACAUCACUAACCGCCAGGGAGACGCAGGCCAUGGCCACACCCGGCUCACUGGAGUUGUGAGGAUGGGAACACCAGCCCACCCCCCUCAGUUCAGACCUCAGCUUAGAUGCAAAGAAUGUCUGGGAUGGGGACUGGCAGCUGAUGAGAGAUGCAACCACUGAACCUGUGGACUGUGUUCAAACAAAUGCCAGCAGAACACAAAAGGCGACUGUUAUAGGAGGCAGAAAGAAAUGAUUUAGGUAGACAGGGUAAAGCCAGUCCCCA